CUUGGUUGAUCCUGCCAGUAGCCAUAUGCUUGUCUCAAAGAUUGAGCAAUGCAUGUGCAAGUAUGAACUAAUUCAGACUGUGAAAUUGCGAAUGGCUCAUUAAAUCAGUUAUAGUUUAUUUGAUGGUAUGUGCUACUCGGAUAAUCGUAGUAAUUCUAGAGCUAAUACGUGUACCAAAUCCUGACUUUUGGAAGGGACACAUUUAUUCAGUAAAAGAUCGAUGUUGGCUCAUGCCAGCUGCCCUGAUGACUCAUGAUAAUUUGUCGGAUCGCACGACCCUUGUGCCGGCGAUGCAUCAUUGGAAUAUCUGCCCUAUCAACUUUCGAUGGUAGGAUAGGGGCCUACCAUGGUGGUGACGGGUGACGGAGAAUUAGGGUUCGAUUCCGGAGAGGGAGUCUGAGAGAUGGCUACCACAUCCAAGGAAGGCAGCUGGCGUGCAAAUUACCCAUUCCUGACAAGGGGAGGUAGUGACAAUAAAUAACAAUACCAGGCUCUUCGAGGCUGGUAAUUGGAAUGAGUACAAUCUAAACCCCUUAACGAGAAUCUAUUGGAGGGCAAGUCUGGUGCUAGUAGCCACGGUAAUUCCAGCUCCAUUAGCGUAUAUUUAAGUUGUUGCAGUUAAAAUGCUCGUAGUUGGACCUUGGGAUGGGACGGUCGGUCUGCCUCGCGGUGGGCGCCGCCCGCCUCGUCCCUUAUGUCGGCGAUGCGCUCCUGGACUUAAUUGGCCGGGUCGUGCCUCCGGCGCUGUUACUUUGAAGAAAUUAGAGUGCUCAAAGCAAGCCCACGCUCUGGUUACACUAGCAUGGGAUAACACUACAGGAUUUCGGUCCUAUUGUGUUGGCAUUUGGGAUUGGAGUAAUGAUUAAGUGGGACGGUCGGGGGCAUUCGUAUUUCAUAGUCAGAGGUGAAAUUCUUGGAUUUAUGAAAGACGAACCACUGCGAAAGCAUUUGCCAAUGAUGUUUUCAUUAAUCAAGAACGAAAGUUGGGGGCUCGAAGACGAUCAGAUACCGUCCUAGUCUCAACCAUAAACGAUGCCGACCAGGGAUCGGCGGAUGUUGCUUUUAGGACUCCGCUGGCACCUUGUGAGAAAUCAAAGUCUUUGGGUUCCAUAAAGGGAAGGCCGUAGCCUAUGCAUAUAUAUAAAAAAUUAAGAGUACAAACUCAUCCGGGAUCAAACUCCACGGUGUCCUGAGCUAGGAGGUCAAGUAACCUCCCAGGGAGCACAUCUCCCCUAACAAAAGAAAAAUCGCCCUAACGGGCAUACAUAGCACAAAAAUCAGCCACCCGGUUUGCACCACGCGACCGGUGGGCAAAGUCUUUGGGUUCUAUAAAAGGACGGCCGUAACCUAUGCAUAUAUAUAUAUAAAAUCAAGAGUACAAACUCAUCCGGGAUCAAACUCCAUGGUGUCCUGAGCUAUGAGGUCAAGUAACCUCCCAGGGAGCACAUCUCCCCUAACAAAAGAAAAAUCAAUCUGACGGGCAUACAUAGCACAAAAAUCAGUCACCCGAUUCGCACUGCGCGACCGGUGGGCAAAGAUAAUAUGAAGUACAUCAAGCAAAAAUGUUAGGUGAUCAGUAUGUCUUUCUCUACCUCAUGAACGGAGGGUCCUCUCCCAGAGUCACCUGAGUUGUCAGAUCGCUCCCAAGCAGUCACUCUUAAUGAUGACACCAUCCGUAUCAGGCUCCAUGGAUGGUAGGGCCAAUCGUAGUAAAGUGAUCGCCUGUAUCUCAGCCUGUAGUGGUGACCCUGUUUGCAAGCUUGCUCCAAUAGCUACAAGAAACUCGCCUGUCGAAUCUCAAACUACUGCAG
rnacentral:rRNA from 1 species